rnacentral:rRNA from 1 species
UACGUAGGUGACAAGCGUUAUCCGGAUUUACUGGGCGUAAAGGGCGCGUAGGCGGCUUGACAAGUCACUUGUGAAAUCUCCGGGCUUAACUCGGAACGGCCAAGUGAAACUGUCAUGCUAGAGUGCAGAAGGGGCAAUCGGAAUUCUUGGUGUAGCGGUGAAAUGCGUAGAUAUCAAGAGGAACACCUGAGGUGAAGACGGGUUGCUGGGCUGACACUGACGCUGAGGCGCGAAAGCCAGGGGAGCAAACGGG